rnacentral:rRNA from 1 species
GGCGAACGGGUGAGUAACACGUGGGUAAUCUGCCCUGCACUCUGGGAUAAGCCUGGGAAACUGGGUCUAAUACUGGAUAUGACCUUUCUCCUUAUGGGGUUUGGUGGAAAGUUUUUCGGUGUAGGAUGAGCCCGCGGCCUAUCAGCUUGUUGGUGGGGUGAUGGCCUACCAAGGCGACGACGGGUAGCCGGCCUGAGAGGGUGAUCGGCCACAUUGGGACUGAGAUACGGCCCAGACUCC